rnacentral:rRNA from 1 species
GGAGGGUGCAAGCGUUAACCGGAAUUACUGGGCGUAAAGCGCACGCAGGCGGUUGGAUAAGUUAGAUGUGAAAGCCCCGGGCUCAACCUGGGAAUUGCAUUUAAAACUGUCCAGCUAGAGUCUUGUAGAGGGGGGUAGAAUUCCAGGUGUAGCGGUGAAAUGCGUAGAGAUCUGGAGGAAUACCGGUGGCGAAGGCGGCCCCCUGGACAAAGACUGACGCUCAGGUGCGAAAGCGUGGGGAGCAAACAGGAUUAGAUACCCUGGUAGUCCACGCCGUAAACGAUGUCGAUUUGGAGGCUGUGUCCUUGAGACGUGGCUUCCGGAGCUAACGCGUUAAAUCGACCGCCUGGGGAGUACGGCCGCAAGGUUA